UGUUUGUUCAUUAAAAUGUAUUAAAGUUCAUGUUCAAAAGCAAGAAUGGUCUGUGAUUCUUUUUAUUUCAGAUGUAUUAGCAUGUUUCAGGUCUUUCAUCACACAGAUUAAGACUUCUAAUGUAUUCCAAACCAUGCACCUGUCAUUCCACAUGGGAAAGUAAAUUCAUCACAUUUAACCACUGUUUCAGAAAUCUGAUGCAAUUCACUGAACUCUUCGGUCACCAGUGUCAUCUGCCUUACAAAACAUUCCAGUGUUGUGUUACUUUAAGCUAUGCUACAUAUUUAGAUUAAAGUUGAAAUUGUUAGUUAAAAUUCUCUCAUGUUUCCAAAUCAACAAAUAACAACAUCUAUUACACAAAGUGUGUUUAUUUUACUAAUGAUCAAAGUGGAUGUUUCAUGAAAUCAAAGUGUAAUCUUUCCUUGAGUGCUCUAUCCAAGGCAUCUGCGGUAUGGCUAAUGGAGGACUUGAGAGCAGAUAUGUGUUGAAGAAGAAUAAAUACAUGUUCAUGGAGCAUACUUGUUAUUUAUAGAGGUGACUUACCUGUUAACUUUUAUCAUUCCAUUGGUAGUUUCCUCAUAUAUGACACAGGUGUUCCAAAGAAAAUAUUGUUGAUACUAAAUCAAAUCCAGAACCACAAUAUGCAAAUGAGAUGAAGUACUGUAAUAGCUAAUUAAUGGACAAAAAAUCCAAAAGCAUGCACCUUCAUACUAAAUGCAUUCCGAAACCAGAAUACGUCCACCACUAUUGUGAUUGGCUUUGCGCUAGCCAAUGACAGUGUUCUAUGAUACAAUAUAAAAACAUGUUUCAGGAAGCUUCUGUUCAUUCAUGACUGGGCUACAACUGGAAGUUGGACGAGUGCAGUCAAGUGAGUCCAUUAAAAUGAUAUAAAUCUCUAAGGCUUCCAAGUACAUCACUCUCAUAAGCCUUCCAAUAUCAGCAUACAAAGUGAUAAUUCCUUCCAAGUUAAGGGGUGGGUUUCUCUAAAUCUUCCAAAUAGUGCAUAUGUUUAGUCCAGUCUUUCAAGGGAUGGAAGUCCUGCUUUUCUAUAGUAUGAUAGUGGUUAACACUGUUUCAGAAAUCUACUGCUAUUUACUGAACUCUUUGGUCACCAAUGUCAUCUGCCUUACAAAACAUUCCAAUGUUGUGUUACUUAAAGCUAUGCUACAUAUUUAGAUUAAAGUUGAAAUUGUUAGUUAAAAUUCUCCCAUUUUUCCAAAUCAACAAAAAAACAACAUCUAUUACACAAAGUGUGUUUAUUUUACUAAUGAUCAAAGUGGAUGUUUCAUGAGAUCAAAUUGUGAUCUUGCCAUGAGUUCUCUAUCCAAGGUAUUUGCGGUAUGGCUAUUGGAGGACUUGAGAGCUGAUGUGUGUUGAAGAAGAAUAAAUACAUGUUCAUGGAGCAUACUUGUUACUUAUAGAGGUGACUUACCUGUUAACUUUUAUCAUUCCAUUGAUAGUUUCCUCAUAUAUGACACAGAUGUUCCAAAGAAAAUAUUGUUGAUACUAAACGAAAUCCAGAACCACAAUAUGCAAAUGAGAUGAAGUACUGUAAUAAUUAAUGGACAAAAAAUCCAAAAGCAUGCACCUUCAUGCUAAAUGCAUUCCGAAACCAGAAUAUGCCCACCACUAUUGUGAUUGGCUCUGCACUAGCCAAUGACAGUGUUCUAUGAUACAAUAUAAAAACAUGUUUCAGGAAGCUUCUGUUCAUUCACGACUGGCUACUACUGGAAGUUGGAGGAGUGCAGUCAAGUGAGUCCAUAAAUGUGAUAUAAAUCCCUAAGGCUUCCAAGUACAUCAUUCUCAUAAGCCUUCCAAUAUCAGCAUACAAAGUGAUAAUUCCUUCCAAGUUAAGGGGUCCGUUUCUCUAAAUCUUCCAAAUAGUGCAUACAUAUAGUCUAAUCUUUCAAGGGAUGGAUGUCCUGCUUUUCUAAGUGUGAUGUCUGGUCAUGUAUGGAAAUGAACAGUACUUGUAAUUACUCUGUGUAUUUACAUUUCCAUAGUUUGUCUUUUCUCUUUGUAUUCUGAGAUACUAUUUGGAUGGAUUGCCCCAUGAACAGUGCUUACUGUACACUACCAAAUGUAAAUACACUGCUCUGUGUAUGUAAAAUUUCUUUUCGAGGCUGACUUUGAGACAGAGGGAAGAACAUUUCAGACUCGUAUGUAAGCAAGGUAGAGACAUCUGUGAGCCCAUAAUAUUGUAAAUCAACACAAACCCACACAAUUAGUGGACAAUUCCUAAUAUUUGCAACAUAAUAUUGUAUUUCCUGUUUUAAUUUCUCCUCUCACCUUUAUUUGUAUUGACAGGAACCCCUUUUGGACCAGAACAAAGACUGACAGCACAGUAAAUGACUGACCAAAAUUGUUACUAAUGUGUGGAAUUUCAGCGAUUGCUUUGACACACGGUUCAUGGUAUGACUGUUGUCCCUUUGCUUUCAUUUAGAGUCUGCAACACGAAAGGACAAUGAUGGCAACAAAUAGAGGGGACCGUGUCCUUUUCCAGAUGGUGGCUCUGGAAAAUCUUGAACACCACAGUUUUCCUCUUACUCACGAAGAGGCCCCACGACCCUACCCAUUUCAGCAAGGUGUGGUGCAUCAAGCACAAGCACCUGUUGUGUUAGAGAGAACAGUAAGUGGUGGCAGCACAACAUGGUCAUCACAACAGAACCUAAAUGACAGUGAGUGACAGAUCUCCUUUUCCUCAUUUGUAGAGCUGCUCCAGACUGGACCACUGGGAUGUUGUCAUUUUGAGUGCUGUUGUCAUAAGCUUUGCGCUGUUGGUUUUUGCGAUAGCCUACCUCAUAAUAUCACAGCGUAAAUAAGAAGAUUGUAUGGAAACAAACUUACCUGUUUGUUCAUUAAAAUGUAUUAAAGUUCAUUUUCAAAAGUA